UGGGGACCUGAGUGGCCGCCCUCAGCCCCGCUGGACCUCACAGCUGCGGGGCUGCCCUGCCCCCAGCCCCGGCCUGGAUGUCGAAAUCCGCGCAGAGGCUGCUGGGACGUGGCGAUAUCCGUAGGCCCACCACAUCUGCAGUGCAGGGGGCCGGCAGCGGCUCGGAGACAGGUCCAACCUGCUUCACCACAGACGCGGCGUCAGCGUCAAGACGACAACCGCAGGAGCGAUGCCUUAUAACCGGAAGCAGAAAGGGCCUGGUUGUUCCUUGCACCCUGAGAAGCCACCUCUUGAUGGACGAGGAAACCCAGACUCCCAGAGGUGAAGCGACUUGCCAUGGGCACCCAGGGACCCACGUCAGGGCCCCUGGGCCCUGUGCCUGCCAGCCACACCCUGGGCCCCUCGCCCACCCACCAGACCCUUCCGAGGACCCCGCAGGUAGGUGUCAACUUUCCCACUCUUGGCUGCCGCAGCUCCAAAUGGGCAGGGGCAGGGGCUUGUCUGGAGUCAUCUCGCCAGGAAGGGCAACACCAAGACUGCCUCCUGGCGCCCUGAUGGUCCGACGUCAGAGCCCACAGACUUGCAUGCUCAGUCGCUCAGUCGUGUCCGACUCUGCAAACUGCUGGACAGUAGCCCGCCAGGCUCCUCUGUUCAUGGGAUUUUUCAGGCCAGAAUACUGGACUGGGUUGCCAUUUCCUCCUCCAGGGGAUCUUCCCGACCCAGGGAUGGAACCCAUGUCUCCUGCAUGGCAGAUGGAUUCUUCACCUGCUGAGCCAUCAGGGAAGACCCACUGUCUCUCCCAAAACUUUUCCUGAAACUCCCCACAUUUUGAGUCAUAGGAGGGAGUCCGCAUGAGCCCGGCAGAGUGGGGUUAGGCCCCGGCCAGCAGGCAGCCCCCUCCUGUGCUGGGGACAGCUGGGGGACUGGGCCUCGGCCAACAGCAUCCUUUUACAAUGAUACAUUAUUUACCUAGCUCAAGCCACACACACAUGCGCCCUCUGCGGAUAAUUUUGGUCUGUCCUUUUUAAGCAACAACACAGUUAUACUUAACCAUUCAAGAGGAAGUGAAGCCCACACAGUGUCUCCUCUGUGAUCCUACAGAAAAACGACCAGGCCAGCCAGCCGUGCUCAGGCUACAGCACACCAGCACAGCAGAGCAUCUGGCACCUGUGGAGAAAGCGGGGGUUACUCGCCUCUACACAGACAGCCCCAAACUGGCAGUCGGCUGGUGCUGUUCUUGUGUUUACUUCUAGCGGUUAUUCUGUCUCCUCUCCUGUCGUUGGCCAGUCACUUCUAGAAGCACCCAGGCUCUGCUUGGAAAGCGGCUAACAAGCUCGAUGCCUCUUGCCAGUGAAUGGACCAUCGAUGACUACUGCGAGCAGAGCUUAACAAGGGGAAUUCAUGGUGAGAACAAGCGCCAUCGAGUCCUCCUUGAGCUCCGGACGCUCUGGGGGCUCCAGGACAGAACUCGGGGAUCUGACACCGCAAGGGUGCCAGCCUGGAUGAAGUUCUGUGCCAAGCUCAGCAAGGCUCCACUUCCUUGAGAUGCUUUACCGCCACCUGCUGGAAAAGUAUCCUGGCAAAUACAUCUCCCCUGAUGCCCCUCUGAGCAGCACACAUCAGAGCUGUGUAGUGCACAACUUGUCCAGCUGUCCAUGGCAACCCCGUCUCAGCGCCGCCAGGCUUCCUUGUUUCCCCAUCGUGUUUUAUCCGUUUCUCUCUCCGUUUCAUUCUCUAGUACCUUAGACAGGCUUUAUCUUUGUGGCUGAAAUCAGGCUGCUCUGUGACUUGUGAGACAAAGUCCCUUCCCCUCCCGCCCCCAAAUAUAAAAGUCUAGGUAAGGACUCUGGUCCAUCACUGAGCCUUCUCCGUGGUCAGAGGCAGGGGACAGGUGUCAGGAUGGGCAAGGUUGUGCCGUGCAACGCGCCACGUAGAACCUCAGCGGUGCUUUAUUUCUCCCUCACUCUGAACAUCCACCCCUGUCUGCCCAGGGGGCUCUGCUCACCUGGGGCUUUCAGGGACCCAGACUGACAGAUGCCUCAGCUCAAAAUGUGUUCCCGCCAUUGCUGCAGCAAGAGCAAGGCACUUGGAGCAUCGCCCACUGGCUGGGAAAGUGUCCCCAGGGAGGAAAGCGUCCCCGGGGAGACACACAGGCACUGAGCUCACGGUUCAUGAAGCAAGUCCGUGGGCAUGUCCAAGCUCAGGGGUGGAGAGAAGCACCCUCCAGGAGGAUCUGUCCUUGGAUCACACUGCACUCUCGGGGCAGCAGGGGCUAGGCUGGGGGGCGGGCAGGGGACCAUGAUCGCUACAGCCUGGGCUGGAGGGGUGGGAGCUCCUCCAGGAAGGGGAGGAGGGUGCCAGCGACUCUGAACACGCCCGGGGUUGCGGCCAAGAGGGAGCUGGGCCAGGCAGGAGAGUGUGAGCAGGGGCAGUGGGCGGCCGCACGCGGCUCUGGGCACUGCAGCAGCAGGAGCCCCGAGGGCCCCCGGGACCAGCUCUCUGGGAAUAAAGAGUCAGGCUCCAGCCCAGGCGAGACAGCAGGAGUGGUCUGGCCUGGACUCCACCGGGAUGGGUUAGACGGGGACCCUCUCUAUUUGCUUCCCCUCUGGUGCUGGGGUUGGCUGUGGGCAGGCUGGGGUGUUAGGAAUGACUCAUCCGUCAGAGUUGAAGCUUCCGCUAGACAGAGGCUACUGGCCCUCGGACUGGUCAAAGAACGGUCUCAGGUUCGAGGAGCUCUCGGGGAAGCCACCACUGCUGGAUAGGUGCCCACCACGUGCCAGGCUAGCGUGCCCCCCAGCCCCACCACCAGGAGUGCCCAUCUCAGCUGCGCGGACGAGAGCCUGGGGUUCGGGAACGCAUCACACAGCUGGCACCCCAUGCCAGGCCUCGGACCCCCGCGGCAUCACAGGAUUCCUGGGGAAGGAGCCACAGCCUUUGAAACGACGACGGGUCCUCACGUGACCGAAGACCUCGGGAACCAGAUGGGCGUCCGCCGGCCUGUGUUUUCGGCACAUUCCUGAGCUCCGAGAGGAGAAAUAAAAGUGUUCCCUUGUCUGCAAGCUGAAGAGACAGCAAUAUUGUGGCGUAACUAGGACCAGAUGGGCUCCAGGAAUUUCCAAACGCCUCUCAGCGCAUUAGACAAAAUAGCCUCCCAGCCGCACACCAUAACUCCGUCUGGCCGCCCGGGUAUCGGUUACCGCGAUGACUGGCGGGGUGUGAGUGCUGGCUCGGGGGUCCCAGCAGGGAAGGGGUCUCCGGUUGGGCCAUCGCCCCCUCCUCCUGGCCCCUUGGGAGCACCCCUCAUGUGUGAGCCCUCCUCAGAGCUCCAAGGCCAGGGUGCCCAAUGGGAAAUCUCAGAAAGGGGUGGGACGCCCCUCAGCCACGGAGCUGGAUGCCUGAGGCCCCCUCGCUAGCACACCCCUUGGGAGGGGAGGUCACGGCCACGGGGCACCCAAGGGUGGGCACUUCCAGCACACGGGGUGCAGGCUCUGGGGGGCUGGGGGGUAUGUCUGGAGACCCAUCCUCUCUGCAUCCGUCUUCCUCCGUGGACACAGCUGUGCUGAGAAUGAAGCCAGUGAACACACGCCUGUGCACGACUCACGUCGUGAACCCAGAAGCUGCACGCAGAGGCCACAAGAUGAUUUCAGAUGCCCCGGCCCCGAGAACAUCCCAUCCGGUGCCCUCCUGAAGGAUGCCAAUGUUAACUGAGAACAUGCCGACACCAGGGCAUCUUACGGGGGAGGAGAUCAGGGCUCAGCAUGGUGACCACAGCUCAAGGCCGCACAGCUGGCAAGAAAGUCCAGCUCCAAACACCAUGUCCUCCACCUUCCGAUGAGUCAGCUCCCACGUGCAAUGAAGCCGUGUCUCUCUAGGUGUCCGUUUCCCGUCUGUGUAGCAAGAGACUGGAGAGCAGGCCAGAAGGGCACCCCACACUCUCCCGCCGGACCCUAAGUCCGUCCUCAAGUGACUGGAGCGCAUAGGCCAGGCCACUUCCGUUCCCUCACACAGGCCUGUGUGGAGGGAGGGCCAGCCUGCGGUCGGGGCUGCGCUUGCCCAGGGUCACUCCGAGGCCAGUGGCAAAGCAGGUUCAGACUGAGGCUGGCCGGCCACAAAGCCCACGUCCUUCCUGCAGAGACCGCGCCCCUGAAGGCAGAGCCCAGGGCUCCCUCGUGCCCUGACAGCCGUGCCUUGACCCUGGUGGUGACAAGGC
ensembl:lncRNA